UAUCAUACAUAUAGAGUUAAGAAUGAUCUGAAUAUGAGGUUGUAGGUUCCUUAUGAGAAGAUGACACCAUUGUACGCAACCAUGGGAGUAAGACAGGGCUCCAUUAGAAAAGGAUGAUGAGACGCUCUUCUCACCAUCGUUCAUCUCCAAAAGAUGGGGUUAGGAGUGAUAGAGACAAACAAAGGGGUACCCGUGAAACAAGAGACAGAGAUAGGGAUAAAGAUAGGAGCAAGGAGGACAGAAAUGGAAAGGGUAGAGAUAAAGAUAGAGAAAGAGAAAGAGACAGAGGUGGUGAUAGGGAUAGGGAGAGGGACAGGGUGAGGGUAAAAAGGGAACAUGGACGUGAACCUGAGAAAGAAAGGGAAGAUAGAGAUCAAGAGAAAGAGAAAGAACAUGAAAGACCACAUCGAAGUGGAAGCAAGAUCAGAAAGACAUGUGAGUGUAAGGGACAGGGAAAAGAGCCAUGAUAGAGAGGUUAAAGAUAAAGAAAGAGAAAGAAAAAGAAUAAGAAAAAGAAAAAGAAAGGGAAAUUAGAGAACCUGAUCGUGAUCGUGAAAGCAGAAGAGUGUAUGACAAUAGAGGCAGCGUGAAAUGUUCAAAUACCAGUAAUGGCCCACCAUAUUCCGGGUAACAGUUGUUUUCCCUGGGCCAAUAGAGACAUCAAAUGCACCUGCUACAAGCACAACAUCCAA